UAGAAAAAUCAUCCCCUCUCAUCCACAGCC
rnacentral:piRNA from 1 species